UGGGGAAUUUUGGACAAUGGGCGAAAGCCUGAUCCAGCCAUGCCGCGUGCAGGAUGAAGGCCUUCGGGUUGUAAACUGCUUUUGUACGGAACGAAAAGACUCUGGUUAAUACCUGGGGUCCAUGACGGUACCGUAAGAAUAAGCACCGGCUAACUACGUGCCAGCAGCCGCGGUAAUACGUAGGGUGCAAGCGUUAAUCGGAAUUACUGGGCGUAAAGCGUGCGCAGGCGGUUAUAUAAGACAGAUGUGAAAUCCCCGGGCUCAACCUGGGAACUGCAUUUGUGACUGUAUAGCUAGAGUACGGCAGAGGGGGAUGGAAUUCCGCGUGUAGCAGUGAAAUGCGUAGAUAUGCGGAGGAACACCGAUGGCGAAGGCAAUCCCCUGGGCCUGUACUGACGCU
rnacentral:rRNA from 1 species